rnacentral:rRNA from 1 species
AGCAGCCGCGGUAAUUCCAGCUCCAAUAGCGUAUAUUAAAGUUGUUGCAGUUAAAAAGCUCGUAGUUGAAUUUCGAGACCGGUCUACUGGUCGUGCUUUUGUACGUACUGGUUUUAUUGGUUUCUCCUUUCUGACGAACUAUAAUGCCAUUAAUUUGGUGUUAUGGGGAAUCAGGACUGUUACUUUGAAAAAAUUAGAGUGUUUAAAGCAGGCUCACGCUUGAAUACAUUAGCAUGGAAUAACGGAAUAGGACGUUUGAUUCUAUUUUGUUGGUUUCUAGGAUCGACGUAAUGAUUAAUAGGGAUAGUUGGGGGCAUUAGUAUUCAAUUGUCAGAGGUGAAAUUCUUGGAUUUAUUGAAGACUAACUACUGCGAAAGCAUUUGCCAAGGAUGUUUUCAUUAAUCAAGAACGAAAGUUAGGGGAUCGAAGACGAUCAGAUACCGUCGUAGUCUUAACCAUAAACUAUGCCGACUAGGAAUCAGACGAUGUAAUUUUUAAUGACUCGUUUGGCACCUUACGG